rnacentral:rRNA from 1 species
GACGAACGCUGGCGGCGUGCUUAACACAUGCAAGUCGAACGGAAAGGCCCUGCUUUUGUGGGGUGCUCGAGUGGCGAACGGGUGAGUAACACGUGAGUAACCUGCCCUUGACUUUGGGAUAACUUCAGGAAACUGGGGCUAAUACCGGAUAGGAGCUCCUGCUGCAUGGUGGGGGUUGGAAAGUUUCGGCGGUUGGGGAUGGACUCGCGGCUUAUCAGCUUGUUGGUGGGGUAGUGGCUUACCAAGGCUUUGACGGGUAGCCGGCCUGAGAGGGUGACCGGCCACCUUGGGCCUGCGAUACGGCCCAGACUCCUACGGUAGGCAGCAGUGGGGAAUAUUGCACAGUGGGCGGAAGCCUGAUGCAGCAACGCCGCGUGCGUGAUGACGGCCUUCGGGUUGUAAACCGCUUCCGCCUGUGACGAAGCGUGAGUGACGGUAAUGGGUAAAGAAGCACCGGCUAACUACGUG